GGUGCAGCAGGCGCGAAAACUUUACAAUGCGGGAAACCGUGAUAAGGGGACACCGAGUGCCAGCAUCAUAUGCUGGCUGUCCAGGUGCGUAAAAUACACCUGUCAGCAAGGGCCGGGCAAGACCGGUGCCAGCCGCCGCGGUAACACCGGCGGCCCGAGUGGUGAUCGUGAUUAUUGGGUCUAAAGGGUCCGUAGCCGGUUUGGUCAGUCCUCCGGGAAAUCUGACGGCUCAACCGUUAGGCUUUCGGGGGAUACUGCCAGGCUUGGAACCGGGAGAGGUAAGAGGUACUACAGGGGUAGGAGUGAAAUCUUGUAAUCCCUGUGAGACCACCUGUGGCGAAGGCGUCUUACCAGAACGGGUUCGACGGUGAGGGACGAAAGCUGGGGGCACGAACCGGAUUAGAUACCCGGGUAGUCCCAGCCGUAAACGAUGCUCGCUAGGUGUCAGGCAUGGCGCGACCGUGUCUGGUGCCGCAGGGAAGCCGUGAAGCGAGCCACCUGGGAAGUACGGCCGCAAGGCUGAAACUUAAAGGAAUUGGCGGGGGAGCAC
rnacentral:rRNA from 1 species